GCGCCCGUAGCUUAACGGAUAGAGCAUCUGACUACGGAUCAGAAGGUUGGGGGUUCGAAUCCCUCCGGGCGCGC
rnacentral:tRNA from 2 species